rnacentral:SRP_RNA from 1 species
CCGCGCUAGACGGGGASUUAGCGGUGCCUUGUACCCGCAAUCCGCUAUAGCGGGGUUGAAUGCCUCUCCCAGGCAUGACCAUUAGGCCAAUAUUUCGGAUAGAUGAUGUUGAAGGUUGGGUCCCACGCGGCGCAGACCUGCGAACUCCGCCAGGCCGGAAGGAGCAACGGUAAACAGUGCUCUGCGGGUGCCGUGGGAGCGCCUGACCCGAGUCACCGUCCGGAACAUGCCUAGUGGCCAGCGUCGAAGAGAGGUGCGCGG